GACGAACGCUGGCGGCGUGCUUAACACAUGCAAGUCGAACGGGAAGGCCUGGCUUGCGUGGUGCUCGGGUGGCUAACGGGUGAGUAACACGUGGGGGGUGGGCCCUGCACUUCGGGAUAGGCCUCUGAAACUGGGUCUACUGACGGACAGAAGCCAGAUUUAGUGUGAGGGGGGGAACGUGUUUCCGUCGGAGGAUGGGCUGGCGUCUGAUCAGCUAGUUGGUGAGCCAAUAGCUUACCAAGGCGAUGAUCGGUAGCCGGUCCGAGAGGAUGGUCGGCCACACUGGGACUGAGACACGGCCCAGACUCCGACGGGAGGCAGCAGUGGGGAAUUUGCCGCAAUGGGCGAAAGCCUGACGGAGCAAUGGCGCGUGGAGGUAGAAGGCCUACGGGUCGUGAACUUCUUUUCCCGGAGAAGAAGCAAUGACGGUAUCUGGGGAAUAAGCAUCGGCUAACUCUGUG
rnacentral:rRNA from 1 species